GCAACCCACUGCAGUGUUCUUGCCUGGAGAAUGCCAUGGACGCAGGAGCCUGGUGGGCUGCUGUCUAUGGGAUUGUGCAGAGUUGGACACAACUGAAGCAACUUAGCAGCAGCAGCAGGAUGGGUUCUAAUCCAGUAUCAUGUCCUUCUAGAAGAGGAGACUCAGAAACAGGCCUAAAGAGAAAAGACCUUAUGAAGACACAAGAAAAAGAUGGCCAUCUACUAGCCAAAGAGGAGGAGAAAUCAGUGCAGCUGAUACCCUGAUCUUAGAUUUUUGGCCUUCAGAAACGUGGCAGAAUAAGUCUGUUAUUUAAGUCAUCUUGUCUAUGGUAUUUUGGUAUGGCAGCCUGUGCAGACUAAUACUAUAUGAUCCAGCAAUAGUGCUGUGUAUUAAUGCAUAUAUAUUACAUUUAAUUUGUCAAAAAUUAUGUGUGUAUUAAAAUGUAAUGUAUAAUUAUUCUGGUUUGUAUCUAAAGCUACUUACUAAGCAGGGUAGGGGCAGUAUAGGUUAGAAAUAACCAAAGGCUAAAGUGAAGAUGGAUUGUGAGCUUUAAAAUCCAAUUUCUCAUCUUCCAGUUGGCGUUACUGAGAUAUGUGAUUGGAAUAGCUAAAAUGUCCAUCUGUGAACUCACCCUGUUUUCUCUCUGAAGUAGGUCUUCAUUGGUUUCACUUGGGAGUAGAAAUAUGGUAAUAGGAUUGGUAGCUCACCAGUUUCCAUUCAUUCUGUUUCUGUAGUAUCUCUUUAAAAAAUGCUCUUCCUUUAUGUUCCAUUGGAGAAGUCAUUUUCUUGCUCUCAGCUUAAUCUUCCUUAGAAACUGUCCUUCACAUUUAAUAUACAUCCAGUCAUUCACUUCCUUGCUUAAACGCCUAUGUCUUAAAAACCUUUUUCUGUGAAAAAUUUUACAGGGCAAGAUACUCCUCAGAGGCUGAGUCCACUGUUUGGACAUCAGUUAAUUUUCAGAUGAUUCUUUGUUUCCCAAACCUUUCAGUAUUUCAUUCCUUUAUGUAAGUAAGUUGUGCCCCCUUAAUUUGGAAUGGCCUUGGUGCCUCACCUGGAAUCAGUUUCCUUUUUAUGGCCUUCGGUACUCUCAGGUUGUUUUAAAAUGUCUGUUUAUAAGUUUGUCCUGUGGGUCAGAGUGAGUCCUUUUGUGGCAGCAUCUGCUGGACACACUUGUCAGAUCACCACCUACACUGGAAUCAUCUUAAAAUGUUGCUUCCUGGACACUCUCCCAGUCAUGUUGACUUGACUUAGAACCUUUUCCAGUGCAGUCUGGGGAGCUGCAUUUUAAGCAAGCUCCUUGGUGAUUCUGAAUUGGAGCACCUCCACUGUGGAGUAGGGGGAGCCACUUCACUCAUCUUCUUCAGAGUCCUGCCCUGAAUUUGUAUUUGGGGGCCUCCAGGUAAAUCCCAGGGACGGGGGAGCCUGGUGGGCUGCCCUCUAUGGGGUCAUACAGAGUUGGACACGACUGAAGUGACUUAGCAGCAGCAGCAGGUAUUUGUCCAGGAAUGAGAUUGCAGGACCAUAUGCAUCAAAUGCUGACUGCUUUCCAGAAAAACAAAAACAGCUUCCUUGGGGAGAAGGAACUUCUUGGCUAAUCUGGGACUGUAGCAAUUAGAUACCUUGAGAGUCAUCAUAAAUGAAUGUUGUAGGACUAAAGGAGAAUGAAGACAGAAGAAACUGAUGCCUUUUCAUGUUCCUGUUAGAAACGCUUGCCGUGCAGUUUGAUAGUCACUAACUCCUGGUGUUUGUUGAGCCCCUGAAAUGUGUCUCAGGGUGAAAAAUUGCAUUUUAGAUUUUAUUGAAUUUUAAUUAAAUUACAAUUUAAAUCAGAUUUGAUUCAAAUUAUUAGAAAACUGUAAGUAUGUUUAAAACAACUUGGGUAUGUGAAUCUACUUUUUCAGCUGUAAAUUUUUUGAAUCCUAGAUACUUGUCAAGUAGAUGCCAGUGAACAUUUAGCAUCUAAAUUGAGAUGUACUGUAAGUGUAGAGUAUACACUAGAUUCUAAAGACUUAGUAUGAGUGAAAGGAUGUAAAAUGCCACAAUAAUUUUUAAUAUUAAUUUCAAAAAUAUCUUUACUUUUUUUAAAAAAAAUGUGGCUACUAGAGAAUGUUCAAUUGCAUGUGUUGUUCAUGUUCUUUUUCUAUUGGGCAGCGCUGUAUGAGGUUGUUUCCCCCUAUCUGUGUCUUUGGAAGCUUUUUAACAUAUUCAGAUGUUCCUGUGUUUUGGGAGAUCAUGUUCUGGAAGAGUUCAUGAGAAAUAAAAAUCAUCUGGAAAUAAAAUGAUGAGGUUAAUGUUUAUUGAAUAUGAAAAACAAUCUCAACCCUGAACCCUUUUAUGAUUCAAAUGAGUGUCUUACAAGUAGAUUUACUGCUGCGGUUGAUUUAAAUCUAAUAGGGUUAAAGAUCCAUGACUAAAACAUGAGGUCGUUAAAUAAGAUUUUAGGUAUAAGUAAUAUAUUCCUGUUGUAUAUUCCUGCUUUUGGCCACAAAAAUAUAUAUAACAAAAUAUGCCCUCCCAACCAUUUCCAAUUUACAGUGAAGUACUGUCAACCACAUGUAUGUACACUGUGCAGCAAAUCUCCAGAACCUGCCUCUGCUUCCUGCAUGACCGAAGUUCCACACUCACCUAACAACGUCCCCCCUCCACCCUCCCCUAACCCAUGGCAACCACCAUUCAACUUUGUUUCCCUGAGCAGAUUUGACUACUCACGUAACUACCUCAUGUAAGUGUAAUCGUGGAGUAUUUGUCUUCCUAUGACUAGCUUAUUUCACUUAGCAUAGUGUGCUAGAGAUUUAUCCAUGCUGUAGCAUAGGACAGGGUUUCUUUCUUUUUUUUAAGGCUGAAUACUCUUCUAAUGUAUGAAUAUACUGUGUUUUCUGUAUCCAUUCACCAUCCAUAUACAUUCAUGUUGCUCUGUGUACUUAGUCGCUCACUUGUGUAUGACUCUUUGGGAUCCUAUGGACUGUAACCCACCAGGCUCCUCUGGCCAUGGGGAUUCUCCAGGCAAGAAUACUGGAAUGGGUUGCCAUGCCCUCCUCCAGGGAAUCUUCCUAACCCAGGGAUCAAACCCAGGUCUCCCACAUUGCAGGUGGAUUCUUUACUGUCUGAGCCAUCAGGGAAGUCCUACUUAGUUAUUAUGAGUAAUGCUGGAAGUCACACAGGUAUGCAAAUAUCUCUUCAAGAUCCUGUUUUCAGUUCUUUUAUAUAUAUACCCCGGAGAAGGCAAUGGCACCCCACUCUAGUACUCUUGCCUGGAAAAUCCCAUGGAUGGAGGAG